rnacentral:rRNA from 1 species
UACGGAGGGUGCAAGCGUUAUCCGGAUUUACUGGGUUUAAAGGGUGCGUAGGCGGGCUUUUAAGUCAGUGGUGAAAUCUCCGAGCUUAACUCGGAAAUUGCCAUUGAUACUAUUAGUCUUGAAUUAAGUUGAGGUGGGCGGAAUGUGUCAUGUAGCGGUGAAAUGCUUAGAUAUGACACAGAACACCGAUUGCGAAAGGCAGCUCGCUAAACUUAUAUUGACGCUGAGGCACGAAAGCGUGGGGAUCAAACAGG